AAUGGGGGAAACCCUGACGCAGCAACGCCGCGUGAAGGAUGAAGGUUUUCGGAUCGUAAACUUCUUUGAUGAGGGACGAAUAAUGACGGUACCUCAAAAACAAGCCACGGCUAACUACGUGCCAGCAGCCGCGGUAAUACGUAGGUGGCGAGCGUUGUCCGGAAUUACUGGGUGUAAAGGGCGUGUAGGCGGGGAUACAAGUCAGAUGUGAAAUACCGUGGCUUAACCACGGGGCUGCAUCUGAAACUGUGUCUCUUGAGUGUCGGAGAGGAAAGUGGAAUUCCCAGUGUAGCGGUGAAAUGCGUAGAUAUUGGGAGGAACACCAGUGGCGAAGGCGACUUUCUGGACGAUAACUGACGCUGAGGCGCGAAAGCGUGGGGAGCAAA
rnacentral:rRNA from 1 species